rnacentral:misc_RNA from 1 species
GGAGAUGUAUUUAAGUAAGGUAUGUGUGCAUGAGUGUCUAUCAAACACCAACUCAAAAGAAAGUUCAUUAAAUUUGGGGUAAAAUCUAAGUUAACCAAGAUAAGCACAGAUUAUUUGAAAAUAUUUUUGCAUGAAGUUAAAAAAAAAAAAAAAAGAGCACUAGUAAAGGAGCCUGAAUUGUUAGGAAAUCUCAUCAUCAAGGUGCCAUUUUGUAAAAACUCCAUGCCAUGCACGCAUCAACAUUUGUAAAGAUUAGUCAACCAUAAAUAUCAUAUCCAUCAAAUCCUAUAAAAGCUAUCAAAUUCAUUAAGAUAAAACCAAAAGUAGUAGAUAUUUCCAUCUUUCACAGGGACAUAAUCUUAUCAUCAUCAUCAUCAUCAUUUUGUUGGGGGAAAAUAAGUAUAUCUUCUUGGCAUUAGAUGAAGCCAAUCUUUGAUUGGAUUGAAAAUUGUUGAGAAGUUGCAUAAUCCCAUUUAGGUGACUAUAGAGAAGAAAUUGCAACCUACUUAGUGAAGGAGUUCACAACACAAAUACCUUGUAUUUUCCCCAACAAAAUGAUCUUUACUCUCUCAUAUUUUCCCUAUAAGGUGUUUUCAAUGAGGCAUAUUUUCCUUAAUUGAAAACAUAACAAGGUAUUUUCAAUACCUUAUAUUUUCCUUAAACUAAGCUACUUAAAUCAAGCUUGUUCAUUACUAAUACCUUGUCCAGAUCUAUACUCCAACCAACUUAGUGAAGGAGCUCACAACACAAAUGCCUUAUAUUCUCUAAUAUAUCAUCAUGUCUGAACCAUUGAUCAUUGCAUUAUCUAGUACAAAUUCAUUUCUUAUAUAAUGUUUGCAAUUGAAUUGAAACUUAGUUUCAUCUAUAGGAAACGCAUUGCCAAUCGUGAAUGCUAAUCAUGCCCACAACAAACCAUCACUAAUUUUGACCCAAAAUUUGUAUAUUAAAAUUUAUAGGCUGCAAGUAGAAUAAUAAAGAAUUGGGGAACUUACCUCCUU